UAGCGGAGGAAAAGAAACCAACAGGGAUUGCCUUAGUAGCGGCGAGUGAAGCGGCAAUAGCUCAAAUUUGAAAUCUGGCACUUUCAGUGUCCGAGUUGUAAUUUGAAGAAGGUAUCUUUGGGUCUAGCUCUUGUCUAUGUUUCUUGGAACAGAACGUCACAGAGGGUGAGAAUCCCGUGCGAUGAGAUGUCUAGAUCUAUGUAAAGUUCCUUCGAAGAGUCGAGUUGUUUGGGAAUGCAGCUCUAAGUGGGUGGUAAAUUCCAUCUAAAGCUAAAUAUUGGCGAGAGACCGAUAGCGAACAAGUACAGUGAUGGAAAGAUGAAAAGAACUUUGAAAAGAGAGUGAAAAAGUACGUGAAAUUGUUGAAAGGGAAGGGCUUGAGAUCAGACUUGGUAUUUUGUAUGUUACUCUCUCGGGGGUGGCCUCUACAGUUUACCGGGCCAGCAUCAGUUUGAGCGGUAGGAGAAUUGCGUAGGAAUGUGGCUCGGCCUCGGUCGAGUGUUAUAGCCUUCGUCGAUACUGCCAGCUUAGACUGAGGACUGCGGCUUCGGCCUAGGAUGUUGGCAUAAUGAUCUUAAGUCGCCCGUCUUGAA
rnacentral:rRNA from 1 species